rnacentral:tRNA from 1 species
GGGGGUAUAGCUCAGUGGCAGAGCAUUUGCCUGCAGAUCAAGAGGUUCCCUGUUCAACUCUGGGUGCCCCCUU